rnacentral:ncRNA from 1 species
AAUAUCCUUGUCUUUGGGGAGCAUAGUGUUCAAUGACCGUGUAGUGAGGGCACUGAUGCUGACACCAUAUACAAAUUUAUAAACCGCAUCCGUAAGGUCACUCCGGUGAUUUUAACGAGAUGCAAUUUUUGCACGC